rnacentral:lncRNA from 1 species
GCCGGGGAAAAGUUGCGCGUGGUAGUGCAGAGGAACGUCGGCGGGUGAAUUCAGAUAGAGCCCUUGGAAAGAUGAUUCCCAAAAGUAUUAUUUUCGGAUAUAAAGACUACGCUGUAUCAACAAAAAACGGAUUGCAACUUGCAAAACAUGCGGGAAGAAAAUUACAGACGGAUGCGCAACAACUUCCAACUUUGUUCGAUAUUUGAAGCUGCACAAAGAACAAUUAUGGAACCGGGUAUUGGACUGAAAUAGAAGUGUCGGUCGUCGGUUACCACAGACAGACGUGAAAAAGCAAAGGAGGCAUUGCCAUAGACAGCUUUGCCCAGUCGGCUAAAAGAGCUCUCUGCUGAAAAGAGGUGGAGAUUUGAGGGGCCAACUGAAGUCAUGAUGUCUGAUGUGGAGUCGGACCCAGAAGAUAUUGAUGCA